ensembl:lncRNA
AAUAUGUAGGAUGGAUGAUUGAUACAUGAGAUAAAGUUGUGUAAGACUAUUACUAGAAGAUCAUAUGGAGAUAAUAAAUUAUGCAAAGACAGCUCAAAGAAAUACGCUAAGGACAAUUUUAGUGGGGUGCAAAAAUGGAAUGGGGACAGCAGAUCCAAACCAGGAUAAAAAUGGGUGGGAAACGAAAUCCAGCAGUCUCUCCAACAAAUCACAUAACCGGGCACGAAUUGUUACAGACAGGUAAGGCAGAAAAAACACAGGAAAUAGUUCACAGACAGAAAAGAAAACAAAUUAUUCAUGAUUAUGAAAAGCCCUGCACUCCUUGUGCACCUCAUCUCUUUCUUUCAUACUAGAAUGAGAACUAAGUGCACUGUUCUUCCCUUGGCUAGGAAGUCCAGGUGUGUGGGCAGGGUCUGGCUGUUGGAGAGGUUGGGACCAGCAGACAUGCAGCAGAGCUUGCGGAGCAGCCUGGUUAGAGCUGCAGAGGUGUUGAGAUACAAUGCAGGAGAGACCGCUGCCUUCCUGAGUGAGGUGCAUUCAGAGCAUGGGAAGCAGAGCACAGUUUGAAUUUAGCUUCAAGAACACUUCGGAAGAUUUUGUAACAAAAAAUUGGAGAGGUCGAUAAAAAAGUGAAGAUGCAACCAGAUAAACUGAUGUUAUUAUUAAAGGAUUCAGUGAGGUCAAGAUACUCAAUAAGCACCUACCGGGAACACCACUUCGGCAUUUUAGCAGAUGCUGUAAGAAAUGAAGACUCAGUUGGAUACUUUGCAACAGGAACAAGCAGUGGAAGGAGGACUCUCAGAUUAAUGAAAUCACCCUGUGGCUGUGGCCUUCUCUCUCUUUUGAAAAUAAAGGGAGAUUAGCUGCUGACUGCAGUGUUCUAAGUGCCUCCAGUGGUACGAACUGGCUCAGAAUCACCAUUCUAAAUGCAGCCUCAGAAAGCAUAGAGAAGGGAGAGCUGUCUUUCCUUUCCCACUGCUGUAUACAUAGUGUGUUACUGAUCUACACAACUUUUCAGUCAAUGGAAUACGAUGUCUUUGGUUGUAAUAAUAAUUCUAUCCUGUCCUAACAAGGCUGCUACAUCUGAAUGUCUGGAAAUCCUGUAGCAAAGUCUCUGUGACAUGAUACAAUCUUAGGGAGUUUGAUGUAAAGGCUGUUGAAGGUGGUGGAGUGAAUCUGUUGAUUUCACUGGAUUUUAGAGGAUCAGAAACAGAUAGGAGAUUUUGACCAGAGAAUUAGCCUAACAGAUAACAUAAUUGUCUGCAACAGCAUAACAUUUCCCACGCUGUGUUUAAUUACCUUAAGAUGUCUAUGGAAAUAAAAGAAGUCCAUUUUUCCUUUCCCCUCCCCAAAUACUGAAAACAUAUCAAUUACUCAUACACAUACAUAUACUUGCUGAUCUUUUACACUAUAUCAUUUGAGAAAUUCAGGCAGCACUAGAUGCAUAUGGGUAUAGGACAGUUAUGAAACUGUGAAGUCCUAUGUUUUAAGCUGUGGAAACAACCCUCGUUUGUGAUGUUACAUUAUCUUUAAGCCCACAAGGAGGGUGUGGGGGCUUAUUAUUUCCAUUUUUUUCUAAGCUGAGUUGUUAGCCCUUGAAAAAUGGAAGUGCUGAUAUAAUUUGAAAUAGUAUUUCCUGAAGGGCCAUGUUGGAGCAAUAUUCUAUGAGCUUAAUAAGUCCCAUUGUGAGAGUCAUUUGUCAUUUUAACCCCAGAGGCAAAUUUGUAAAGGUUAGUGAAGGCUAUUUGUCAAAGUUAAAUAAUUCAGCUGCUUAAAAUGUUGUUUCUAAAAUAAGAAGCUUGAAAAUACUACUAGUUGUUGUUUUCAGAUUAUUUAGUUGCUUUUUUUUAAGAAUGGCUCUGGAUAGGGCAGAUGGAAAAAAGUGUCUAAGCUGAAAUUGUUUACUCAUUUGCUUAAUUAUGAAGAAAUGGUUUUCUGUGUAAAUACAGAGAACAGAGCCAGCACAGCGAAAACCGCUCAGUUUAAGAAAAAUAGGAUGGUCGCUCUGUAUUAAAAAACCAAACAUCUCCAUAUGCCAAUCGCCAAUACUCAAAACAAUGAAGAAGUUUCAAAUAGGAUUUGUGUAAGAAGGAAACCGAAUGUAUUAUUAGUUAAAAUGAAUUGUGUAUUCUGCCAUUUGGUCUCCUGUAAACGCGAAUGAUGGUUUGCAAUUCCAAAAUGUCCUCCUCAAUAUGCAUUUCAGAUGGUUAUACUUGGAAGUUUCCAGUCUAGCAAAUUCUCCCUGCUUAAAAACUUGAAUAAACUAUAUAUCAUAGUUAUAUAAACUAUUUGGAAUGCUAAGAUAAAGGACUGAUACAUUCACUGCCUUUGCAGUAGCAAAAGGAUUUGUGGUUAUUGCUUUUGAACAUGUUUUUUAAAGCAUAACUGUAUGAAAAUGCUUAUUAUUGAAAAGCAUAUUCCACUUAACUGCAGCAUUGGCAAUCUGUAGGGAGUUGUGUAACAACCUUUCUUCUUUUAAGUUUGAGGAAUUUAGAGUUUUCUUUGUAUUUUUCAUCAAGUUUCUUUUUGUUAUUUACAGAGUUUAGGUAGCUGAGUUUGCAGUAAGCAUGCCGUAGGCUUACAGGGUUUGAUUUAAUUAAAAUACCCUUUAGUUAGGCAAUAGCCCUUCCACACAGCUUUAUAGCCAGUUACACCAAUUAGUAAAACAAAUACUGAAACAAAAAGGGGAGCGCUUGUUUUCCUAAACUUUUUAAUCAGGAAUCUCGUCCCAAAAGAUGGAUCAAAUUCUCUUUUUUAAUUUAUUCAACAUAAAUGAAUUAAAUUGAAACCUGAUUAGCUCACAGUUGGGAGAAUCUCUCUGCAAUGACUUGGAACACUUGCUAGGGAUUAUCCCUAAAUCCCAAGCCCCAUAUUCUUCCGCACUGCCUUUUCUAGUGGCAUCGUUUGUUCCCAGUAAGAAACCUUAGUGCCUUUCUUUUGGAGGACUGCUGAAAGAGUUAUGCAUCUUUCACCUGUGUUUUUAAGUGCUUAAACGUUAAUAUUAUACUCAAGAAUUAUCCAGUAAGAAUUUCCUGAGAAUCAGUCAAUCAGUGUCUAUAAAGCUCUUAGAGUUACAUGAAGGCAUUGUCCUGUUACUCUAAGCAGAAGGGAACUGCCAUGACUAUAAAGUAGUAGUUCCAUUAGUUUGAUGUCAAAACUAUGCCUGCUUCUUUUCUGUUAAAGACAAAAGCUCUUGUGAAAGUGCUUGCUCAUUAUCGAGAAAUAAUGGGAUAAUAUGGUGCAGUUAAGAAUAAGACUUUUCAUGCUUACAUCAACAAUAUGCUAAUGAUGAGCAUAACAUUAGCCUGUUGACAUAUUGAAUGCUUUAGAAUAAUUGUUAUGUCAAAUGUUUUUAGAAGUUCUACAAAUAAGUCAUAUUUUAAGUCCAGAUCAUAGCCAAAAGGUGGCAGUAUUCUAUUCAAUAUUCAUUUACAAAACAGUAAAAAAUGCAUGUGUUUAUUAAUGCUUUAUCUCCUUCUAAUAUUGAAUCAAACUAGAUGAUUUUCUCUUAAAAUAAAAUCAGUUUAUUAAAAGUAUUCAUUUAGAAUGAAAUCAUGAAUAAAAUUAGC